rnacentral:misc_RNA from 1 species
AAGUCGUAACAAGGUUUCCGUAGGUGAGCCUAUAGAACUACCGCUCGAUUGUAACUGUUCCAAUGUUCGCACGUAGCCAGAGGUCUCUGAAUCACUACAACUUUCCUGGCUAUGAUUUAUCAGAGAUUGCGAACUACGCGGGUUACAAGAGCAGGAUGAAGGUUCACGGGGGGGGGUUUUAACGUUUGGAUACGUGUUAAUGAUUCUUCCGCAGGUAAUGUUUUCCCAAGCAGUCAGUGUCGGAAAGUGUCAUUGAUUGUGCAAGGAUAGCGCUUCUACGAUUCGUGUAGACCGUACACUCGGGCAGGAGCUUUGCCAAAGGGUCUCUAUGCCCCCUAAUAACCCCACAGUUUAAUGUGAAGCUCAAUGUAAUACAUUGGGUAAAAAAACCGAACAACUGUUAACAAUGGAUAUCUUGGUUCUC